rnacentral:rRNA from 1 species
UACAGAGGGGGCGAGCGUUAUUCGGAAUUAUUGGGCGUAAAGGGCGCGUAGGCGGCCUUUCAAGUGACGGGUGAAAUCCCUCGGCUUAACCGAGGAACUGCCUGUCAGACUGGAAGGCUUGAGACCGGGAGAGGUGAGUGGAAUUCCCAGUGUAGCGGUGAAAUGCGUAGAUAUUGGGAGGAACACCAGUGGCGAAGGCGACUACCUGGCCCGUUCUUGACGCUGAGGCGCGAAAGCUAGGGGAGCAAACGGG